AGAGUUUGAUCCUGGCUCAGGACGAACGCUGGCGGUGUGCUUCACACAUGCAAGUCGAGCGGAUGAAGUAGGUAGCUUGCUACUUAUGGAUUUAGCGGCGGACGGGUGAGUAAUAUAUAGGAAUCUGCCCUAGAGCGGGGAACAACAGACCGAAAGGUUUGCUAAUGCCCCAUAGGUACGCAGUCUUCGGAUUGUUUAUUAAAGGAGUAAUCCACUCUAGGAUGAGCCUGUAUCCGAUUAGCUAGUUGGCGGGGUAAAGGCCCACCAAGGCUACGAUCGGUAGUUGGUCUGAGAGGAUGAUCAGCCACAAUGGGACUGAGACACGGCCCAUACUCCUACGGGAGGCAGCAGUGGGGAAUUUUACACAAUGGGGGAAACCCUGAUGUAGCGACACCGCGUGAACGAAGAAGCCUUUUGGGGUGUAAAGUUCUGUCGGCUGGAACGAAAAAAAUGACGGUACCAGCAAAGGAAGCAUCGGCUAACUACGUGCCAGCAGCCGCGGUAAGACGUAGGAUGCAAGCGUUGUCCGGAUUUAUUGGGCGUAAAGAGUUCGUAGGCGGUUAUUUAAGUCUGGUGUUAAAUACUGUGGCCCAACCACAGAACUGCAUUGGAUACUGGAUGACUUGAGUGCGGUAGAGGCGAGUGGAAUUCCCAGUGUAGCGGUGAAAUGCGUAGA
rnacentral:rRNA from 1 species